UGCAGCUAUCCCCCACCAUCUCGUUCUAACCCUUCGGAAAUAAGGGGUGGUUCCCCAAGAAUCCUCUCGAUUACAUUUCGAGUUGGGGCUCGGAUCGCGAACUAUUCAGUUUCUGUUCGUCCUUCGAAGCGAAAGGUUGUCCUCGUCCUCGUCCUCGUCCUCGUCUUCGUCUUCGUCUUCGUCAUCAUCGCCUUUCUCGUUCUUCGUGGUCGUGUCCAUUUUUAUAUUUCUGUUUCUCUCACUCUUUUAUUCUCUUUCUAUUUAUUCAUCUUUUCACAUCGUCUUCUUCAUUUUCAACAUUUUCAUUCAUCGCGUAUACACACUCAUGCAUAUAUACACAUAUAUGCACACACAUUCGUGAUUAAUCCUUGGAAUUAAUCGGACAUUCGAAUAGUUGUGUUACUCGUGUCGUGUUUUUUAACCAAUCCGUAAUAGUUUAAUUCAAUUUAAGAUUUGAUUUUGAUAUUUCCAUUGAAGAAUUAUCCUAGUGUUAGUUUUGGUUCUUUUAAGAAAAGAACAAUCUAUAUUUAUACAGCCAAUAGUAGCCAGUAUUCUAGUAUGAAUACUGAUAAUAAUUUGUUCUAUUAAAAGUUUAUACGUGAAGAUUAAGGAUCCUCUUGACACAUCCGUACACAAUCAUCAUCCCCUAUUGCUGGUUACUACCGUGUGUUCUGUGAACAACUUUAAUCACAAAGUUUCUUAAAUCAUCAAAACCAUCGAACCGAGAUCUGGAUAAUUACGAUGACAACCAUAUUCAAUCCUGGUUAAAACUACUACACACAUAGAAUACUUCGACAAUGUUUUUUCGUAUCGAAAGAAAGCUUCAAAAUAUAAACGAAUAAAAUACAGCACAAUUAAACAUUAGGUGCACCAAUGAAAAGUGUCAUCCGUCCGUCCUUGUUCGAAAUCGCAACGUGCCUUACUUUCGACCAUCACCAGCCUGGUCACGAGAUGAUUCACUUUGCGAAAAACAGCCUGUUUAAUUUUAAUUAUGAUUAUUUUUAUUUUCCUGUUUUCUUUUUAUUUUUGGAAACUACCUUGAAUAAGAAGAAGAAGAAGAAAUGACAAUAAUAAUAAGGAACAAGAGGAAAGGAUUGUGAUUGCUGUUCUAAUUUUACAUUGAUUAUGCGAAACGUUGCAUAGUUUUCCAUUUGAAUACCAAGAGGAAAAAGGAACGUAUCGAUGAAUAAAACCUUCAAUUCUAUUGUUCCUACGUAAUGGGGGAAAAUUCAACACGAACACAUCACUCGAUCGAAGAAUUUUUAACGAUGUGUGGAUGAAUUCUAUCGAAAGUUUGUUUGUUUUUUUUUUUCUUUUUUUUUUUUCUCUAUCAUUGGUAUUCAAGAUGAUUAAUUCAAUUGUGUGAUCACGUUACCAGCUCCUAUUCCUCUCAAUUCUUACAAUCCUUCAUCUGAUUACUGUCGAUGGACACUAUUUUCAUAAUUUGUCAUAUUUAUUAAUGUUAAAACAAACUUUUUUUUGUUAUCUUUAAACAAAAAAUUGU
rnacentral:misc_RNA from 1 species